rnacentral:misc_RNA from 1 species
GAUGAAGAACGUAGCGAAAUGCGAUAAGUAAUGUGAAUUGCAGAAUUCAGUGAAUCAUCGAAUCUUUGAACGCACAUUGCGCCCGUCAGUAUUCUGGCGGGCAUGCCUGUUCGAGCGUCAUUACGCCCCUCAAGUCCCCUGUGGACUUGGUGUUGGGGAUGGGCGAGGCUGGUUUUCCAGCACAGCCGUCCCUUAAAUUAAUUGGCGGUCUCGCCGUGGCCCUCCUCUGCGCAGUAGUAAAACACUCGCAACAGGAGCCCGGCGCGGUCCACUGCCGUAAAACCCCCCAACUUUUUAUAGUUGACCUCGAAUCAGGUAGGACUACCCGCUGAACUUAAGCAUAUCAAUAACGGAGGA